rnacentral:sRNA from 1 species
GGAAAUACAGUCCCAAUCACCUGCUAGAACAGUAAGCUAUUGGAUAAAUUUUUGAUCUAUUGUAUUCUUGAUGCUACAUUCUAUCAUUUCAGUCUUGAAGUUUAUUGUUGCUUACUAGCAUAAUUUCUUUUCAAAUUGUCUUUCUAAAUGAGAAUUAUUUUAUGCUUAGGACUAGGUAAGGUUGUGAAAGGAAUUCUCAGCCAGUGUAUAUUGACUUUUGUCAGGGAAAAUAUUGAUGUUGAAGAUUAAGCUCUCUACACCUUGUGACUCUCUCUUUGUUAUAUUUAUAUGUUAUAUGGGUGAUUUAAUAUCAGAGGCCAACCAGCAACUUGACCAUUGUUCACUACUUUUGACCACUUGUUUUUCUCACUGUCUAUCACUCAUGCUUUCCACUGUCAACUACUGUUGAUCAUGGUCUACUACUUUUGACCACUUCAACUACCUUCUACUGUCUACCAUUGUUGAAUAUUGUCUUACACCACUGCCACUUGCUGCCUCUUCAUUACUCUCACAGCCUUCUGCUGUCAACUACAGCCUCAUACUCUCAUAAUGUCAACUGUUUAAGGUUGUCGUCUGUCCAACAAUAUCACUCUAAGAGCAUAUUACUGACAACUGUCUAUUGCUGUCAAGUUGACUUCCAUUACCUCUGGGGUGCAGCGCCUCACACUGCUGUCAACCAAAGCUGCCUCGCAAGUCUUAGUUCAUUCAAUGUCAACCACUGUCUGUCACUGUCUCAAAUCGGAGAAGAUUCAGGGGCAGCGGUGAGUGUUCAAUCAUAAUGACUUUGCCCAAAUGAUUUUUUUUCUUCUGUACAUGUUAUCAUGUCAUCUUCAGAGGAUUUUUCUUGGCAGUGACCAAGUGAGUAGGAGAUGAUGGAUAGUAAAUGGAUUCUGUCAAUAUUGCUCAGAUAAGUGCAUCCUGCGUGGCCAUAUCAGGCUUUUUGUGCUCUCUACAAGAGAGAACUUCCAUAGAAUGGUUCGGAGUUUGAUUUGAUUUUCUAGUCCCAGUGAGCAUAAAGGGAUAAGUGAAGUGUUGAGAAUAGCUGGGUUGUGGAAGAUGUAAUUUUCCCAAUUGUAUGGGGGUGUGGUAGUGUUGAAUGCAGAACAUUAUCAAUUAUGAAACAUGGUACUGAUGAAGAGUGAUUGCUCAAUGAUAUCCAUAUAAUCAAACCAUUGGUUUGGCUUGAAUUAAUAAUGAUAUCUAGUAUUGAUCUAUGUGGUGAUACUAAAUUAUCUAAAGUGUUUAAUAAGGAAGCAGAGUAGAUGGUCAACAAAACUACAUGUAGUACCCAUCAAAUCUGCUUUAACAUUUUGAAUAAUUAUGACAUUUUUGGUCAUAAAUUAUUAUCUAU